ncrna:Lactobacillus jensenii 269-3 DTF1646 RNA
GGUUGGAGUUUAAAAGCUUUCAAGAUUUGCUUCUUUGGGUCAAGAAGC